UGUUCAGGUGUGUGGGUGGGUAGGGGAGCGUCGUGUGGGCAGUGAAGCUGCAGGGUGACCUAGUGGUGGAGCCUACACGAGUGAGAAUGCAGGCAUGAGUAGCGAAUGACGGGUGAGAAACCCGUCCGCCGAAUGACCAAGGGUUCCAGGGCCAGGUUAAUCCGCCCUGGGUAAGUCGGGACCUAAGGCGAGGCCGACAGGCGUAGUCGAUGGACAAGGAGUUGAUAUUCUCCUACCGGCGAAGAACCGCCCAUACCGAGCCCGGUGAUGCUAACCAUCCCAAACCACCAUCCGGGAUCCUUCGGGAUUCCACCGGUGGGGCGGCGUGGGACCCGAACCGGUAGUAGGUAAGCGUGUUAACAGGGGUGACGCAGGAAGGUAGCCCGGCGUGGCGAUGGUAGUCCACGUCCAAGGUUGUAGCCCGCUUCGUAGGCAAAUCCGCGAAGCACAUAGGGUGAGAGCUGAUAGUGACCGCGUAUGCGGGAAACGGGUGAUCCUCUGCUGCCAAGAAAAGCCUCGACGCGAGGUUCUAGCCGCCCGUACCCCAAACCGACUCAGGUGGUCAGGUAGAGAAUACCAAGGCGAUCGAGCGAAUCGUGGUUAAGGAACUCGGCAAAAUGCCCCCGUAACUUCGGGAGAAGGGGGGCCCGAACCGUGAACCGGACUUGCUCCGGGGAGGCGGGGAGGGCCGCAGAGACCAGGGAGAAGCGACUGUUUACUAAAAACACAGGUCCGUGCGAAGUCGCAAGACGAUGUAUACGGACUGACGCCUGCCCGGUGCUGGAAGGUUAAGAGGACGGGUCAACUUCGGUGAAGCCCAGAAUUUAAGCCCCAGUAAACGGCGGUGGUAACUAUAACCAUCCUAAGGUAGCGAAAUUCCUUGUCGGGUAAGUUCCGACCUGCACGAAUGGCGUAACGACUUCUCCGCUGUCUCAACCGCGAGCUCGGCGAAAUUGCACUACGAGUAAAGAUGCUCGUUACGCGCAGCAGGACGGAAAGACCCCGGGACCUUUACUAUAGCUUGGUAUUGGUGUUCGGUGCGGCUUGUGUAGGAUAGGUGGGAGACUAUGAAACCCGGCCGCCAGGUCGGGUGGAGUCAACGUUGAAAUACCACUCUGGCCGCAUCGACCAUCUAACCUCGGUCCGUGAUCCGGAUCAGGGACAGUGCCUGGUGGGUAGUUUAACUGGGGCGGUUGCCUCCCAAAAUGUAACGGAGGCGCUCAAAGGUUCCCUCAGCCUGGUUGGCAAUCAGGUGUCGAGUGCAAGUGCACAAGGGAGCUUGACUGUGAGACCGACAGGUCGAGCAGGGACGAAAGUCGGAACUAGUGAUCCGGCGGUGGCUUGUGGAAGCGCCGUCGCUCAACGGAUAAAAGGUACCCCGGGGAUAACAGGCUGAUCUUGCCCAAGAGUCCAUAUCGACGGCAUGGUUUGGCACCUCGAUGUCGGCUCGUCGCAUCCUGGGGCUGGAGUAGGUCCCAAGGGUUGGGCUGUUCGCCCAUUAAAGCGGUACGCGAGCUGGGUUUAGAACGUCGUGAGACAGUUCGGUCCCUAUCCGCUGCGCGCGCAGGAAACUUGAGAAGGGCUGUCCCUAGUACGAGAGGACCGGGACGGACGAACCUCUGGUGUGCCAGUUGUUCCGCCAGGAGCACGGCUGGUUAGCUACGUUCGGAAGGGAUAACCGCUGAAAGCAUCUAAGCGGGAAGCCUGCUUCAAGAUGAGGUUUCCAUCCCUACGGGGGUGAAGGCACCCAGCUAGACCACUGGGUAGAUAGGCCGGAUGUGGAAGACAGGACUAACGACUGUCGGAGCUGACCGGUACUAAUAAGCCAACAACUUCACAC
rnacentral:rRNA from 1 species